GGAAGUAAAGUCGUAACAAGGUUUCCGUAGGUGAACCUGCGGAAGGAUCAUUAUUGUAUAACCGAGGUGCGUGGGCUGUCGCUGACCCGAAAGGUCGUGCACGCCCGAGUGCCCUCACACACAUCCAUCUCACCCCUAUGUGCACCACCGCGUGGGUCCCCCUUUGGCUUGUUCGGAGGGGGGCUUACGUUUUCACACAAACUUUGUAUGCAGUGUAGAAUGUAUUUUUUGUUUUUGCGAUCACGCAAUCAAUACAACUUUCAACAACGGAUCUCUUGGCUCUC
rnacentral:misc_RNA from 1 species